CUGCUCUCGGCCAUACAGCAUAAUAGUAUUUAGAGCUUCCAGCACAGAGUCUGAAUUUACAGCCUGGUUUCAGAAAGGACGAGCUAUUAUCAAACCCAUUGUGCAUUUGCGUAUUCAUCAGCCAUAUAGAGGAGGUAAAGAGCUGGGAAGAAAGAGCAGAAAUGAAUGGUCAAUAGCGAAGGCCUCCAGGAAAACAGAUUAAAAGGUCUAUUUAUUUUCUUCCCAGCAGAAGCUGACAAAGGGCCGUGCAUGGUUCCCCACCCCCAUUCCUUCCCACAGCAGUUGCCCAUGGGCUGCAGCCUCCUCCUGCGUUUCUCCACACCGCGCUCCUCUCCUGCACGUUCUCUCAUGCACCAGCAGCUGCAUACAGGAGCGUGGAUGAAGUCAUUCCCGCUUCCACUUUUUGCAUCGCACGCUCUCUGACCUCUGUGGCCACACGUGUGCCGUAUGAUGGGCCUUUCCUGACGCGGUGCACUUAUAAACUAACAUUAGUGGUAAGCUCUUGGCCUACUUUUAUGUUAUCUAUUUGCUCAAGCCCAGAAUGCAGUCCUGGGAUUGCUUUUCUCUCUUAACACUUCAGUGCCUAGAGUCUGGAGGCCCAAUUAUGUAACCACUUCUGACUUGUCUGACGUGAGGAAUAAUGAGAGUGCUGCAGACCCGAUUUGAUCUAAUUUCCCGUCCUCUUUUCAAUUCAGGCUUUGGUCUGCGUUUAGACAAAGGCGCUUUUGAGAGCAAGGGAGACUUGGUGAGGAGGAUGGGAUGGAAGACUUUAAAUAUUUGAAUGUCGCCGUAAGUAGGCGGUAAAGCUUUAGACCUGUGUGAAAGGUAGGGGAGGGUGCUGACCUGAGCCAGCUGCUCUGAGGUAUUUCCAUGCUCGGCCUGAGGAUGAAGCCAGCCCUGGGAGGUUUGCUGUGCUGAGCAGAGAACAGACCCUGCAUCGCAGCUCCUUCACCCUCACUGGCAAACAGAAUGAGGAGGUACUACUUCUAAACUGACAUAGCAGGAUAGAUGCAACUUCUUUAUUAGAGCCUGUUUUUCCACUGGAGGAGGAGGAUGUUUCUGCUCUCUGGGGAAGUGUGGAAGCUCAGCGAGGAUAACCCCGUGACUGCAGAUGAAUACCCGUAUUGAUAAAUCUAUGAAGUUCAGCUGUCCCAAAGUUGCAUGAAUGAGCAUCCUUUCUGCUUGCAGAAAUCUUGUCAAGGUGAGGAAAGUACCUCUCCUACAGACUGAGCUGCUGUUUGCAUGUCUGUAACAGCUAGACAGCAUCUUGAGGAGCUCUAGGUCAAAGGGUGAUGGCCAGAUACAAAGCAGUCUGCGGGUCCUUCACACGUGGGUUAACCAACAUGGCUCGCUCGAGCUUUCUUCAGAGGCGUGGAAUCAGGACUCCGUGCCCUUGCCAGAAGGAAGGGAAGUGGAGCAGAGGUGCAGUCCGAGGGAGAAGACUUGCGAGCCCCGAAGGGAGCAGGGCCGUGCCGGGCCGCGAGUGCCUCCCGCCCGCGACAGCACCAUGGAGAGCGCCCGGGGAGCCGCGCCGCACCGCAGAGUACCGGACCGUACAGCAAAAUGGCCGCUGCUCCGCGUCUCGCCGUGCAAGUGGGCUCACGCGGGCUGGGGCCAGCGAGCUGGUAGGAACGUGUUCCUGCCCGCACCUUCCAGCCAGCUCGGAGGGAAAUCGAUCUGCUCUCUUUCCACAAGUCAGCAGUGUGUGUAAAGGGUAUGCAGCAAGCCACUAAGUCUGCAGUUGCUAUUCUCUACGAACCAAGGUUUGGUUGUCCCCAAACAAAGCAACACCAUUAGAGCACUUAAAUAAAUACAUGCACAAAUAAAUCUGGCUCUGCGUUCAUCCGUAGAUACUUGGCUAGGUUAAAGUCAGCCUCUGAGACAGCAACCCUGAUGCACUUCCAAGAGUGAUGAAACUGCUGCUCGGGUGGUUUCACUCAAUUUCUCAUAAUCAAAUAUAUCUUUCAAGGCAAUAAAUAAGUAUAAGAAAUAUCUAACCUCAGAAAUGAAAGUCCAACAAACAAAAAGACCAAAAAGAAAAAAAAAAAAGCCACGCUCAGAAGAAGAGUUUGCAAAUAUUUCUGAACUCUCAUUUCAAAAAUGACAGGAGCUAAUUGUUGCUUUGGUCGUGCUGCUUGUAUCCUGAAUGUUAAAAGGAAUUAAUAGGAAAAGGUAUCAAUUUGUCACAACAGUGCUAAUUAAUGUUUUACAUUUUUUUUCUCUCUUUUAAUAGAUAAUUUGCUGUAAUGAGUAUAUCAGGGCUAAGUGAGAAUGGGGCUGCAAUAGUGUUUUUCUCAAAUUUCUGAAGUUAUUUAACCUACUCUCAGUAUUAACCUACUGCAGGGACCCUGCUUUAGCUGGGGAGUUGGACUCAAACUCCGACCGCUACCAUUUUGUGGUUCUGUGAUUCAUGAUGCAUGAAGAUUCAAAUGAAAAAUGUCCCUUUUUAUAAAUUGAAGAACAAGGUUUCUUUAGUAUCAGGAAAAUGUUUAUUCAGCACGAGCUGUGGUGUAUUAUAAAUAAAGGUCCAGCUGACUUAAAAAUUACCACCUGCACUGAAUUUUUCAUAAUUAUACUUGAUGUAUGCUAUUGGUAUUGAAACAUUCGUCAAUCCGUUCUCUACUUCUGUGCUUAAAACAAUAUAAAAUAUUUGUCUGACUUAAUUCAGACACCUUCAAGGCAAGCAACGUAGAAACUUACAAACUGUUUCAUAUUGGCAUAAAAGCAUCGAUCUGUCUUUGUUCUUAUGCAAGUCCUGCUCUU
ensembl:lncRNA